GUGCAUGCAAAGUGGUGGACACCUACAGUGCCUUGCAAAAGUAUUCACCCGCUUGACUUUUUUUGUAUUUUGGUGCCUCACAACCUGGAAUUAACAUGUAUUGUUUAAGGAUUUGCAUCAUUGAAUUUACAGAACAACUUUGAAGAUAUUUUUUUUUUUUUAUUGUGAAGCAAACAACAAACAGGACAAAAUAACAGAAAAAGUCAAUGUUCAUAACUAUUCACCCCCCUAAAGUC